AACGAACGCUGGCGGCAUGCCUAACACAUGCAAGUCGAACGAGACCUUCGGGUCUAGUUGCGCACGGGGGCGUAACGCGUGGGAACCUGCCCUUAGGUUCGGAAUAACUCCCCGAAAGGGGUGCUCAUACCGGAUAAUGUCUUCGGACCAAAGAUUUAUCGCCUUUGGAUGGGCCCGCGUUGGAUUAGCCAGUUGGUAGGGUAAAAGCCUACCAAGGCGACGAUCCAUAGCUGGUCUGAGAGGAUGAUCAGCCACGCUGGGACUGAGACACGGCCCAGACUCCUACGCAAGGCAGCAGUGGGGAAUAUUGGACGAUGGGCGAAAGCGUGAUACAGCAAUGCCGCGUGAGUGAUGAAGGCCUUAGGGUUGUAAAGCUCUUUUACCCGGGAUGAUAAUGACAGUACCGGGAGAAUAAGCUCCGGCUAACUACGUG
rnacentral:rRNA from 1 species